rnacentral:tRNA from 9 species
GCCGAAGUGGUGGAAUUGGUAGACACGCACGGUUCAGGGCCGUGUGGCAGCAAUGUCAUAGGGGUUCGAAUCCCCUCUUCGGUACAA